GUGAGGAAUAUUGGACAAUGGGCGCAAGCCUGAUCCAGCCAUGCCGCGUGCAGGAAGACGCAUCUAUGGUGUGUAAACUGCUUUUGUACGGGAAGAAACACUCCCUCGUGAGGGAGCUUGACGGUACCGUAAGAAUAAGGAUCGGCUAACUCCGUGCCAGCAGCCGCGGUAAUACGGAGGAUCCAAGCGUUAUCCGGAAUUAUUGGGUUUAAAGGGUCCGUAGGCGGUUUAAUAAGUCAGUGGUGAAAGCCCAUCGCUCAACGAUGGAACGGCCAUUGAUACUGUUAGACUUGAAUUACAAGGAAGUAACUAGAAUAUGUAGUGUAGCGGUGAAAUGCUUAGAUAUUACAUGGAAUACCAAUUGCGAAGGCAGGUUACUACUUGUGGAUUGACGCUGAUGGACGAAAGCGUGGGGAGCGAACAGGAUUAGAAACCCCAGUAGUCC
rnacentral:rRNA from 1 species